rnacentral:tRNA from 1 species
AAGUAAGAAACAAACAAUUGUAAUCAGUUUCGACCUGAUAUUUGAUAAACUAAUUAUCCUUAUUUA